rnacentral:lncRNA from 1 species
CCUCCCCGUGCUCCCAGUUCCCUCCAGACACUCCCUGCUCCUCCCAGUGCCCUCCCAGUUCCUUCCCAGUCCAUCCCAGUGCAUCCCCACUCCAUCCCAGUCCACCCAGUGCCCUCCCAGUCCCUUCCUAGUCCAUCCCAGUGCCUUCCCACUUCAUCCCAGUCCUCCCAGUGCCCUCCCAGUCCCUUCCUAAUCCAUCCCAGUCUAUCCCAGUGCCCUCCCAGUCUAUCCCAGUGCCCUCCCAGUCCAUUCCAGUGCCUUCCCAGUCCACCCAGUGCCCUCCCAGUGUCCUCCCAGUCCAUCCCAGUGCCUUCCCACUUCAUCCCAGUCCUCCCAGUCCCUUCCCAGUCCAUCCCAGUGCCUUCUCGCUCCAUCCCAGUUCUCCCAGUGCCCUCCCAGUCCCUUCCUAAUCCAUCCCAGUCCAUCCCAGUGCCCUCCCAGUCCAUUCCAGUGCCCUCCCAGUCCAUCCCAGUCCACCCAGUGCCCUCCCAGUGUCCUCCCAGUCCAUCCCAGUGCCUUCCCACUUCAUCCCAGUCCUCCCAGUCCCUUCCCAGUCCAUCCCAGUGCCUUCUCACUCCAUCCCAGUCCUCCCAGUCCCUUCCCAGUCCACCCCAGUCCAUCCCAGCGCCCUCCCAGCCCACCCGGGUACAGCCGAGGGGUUACCACGGCAACAAACCCCGCCUCAACCCUCAAUUGAUUGACGGCCGCCUCAACCAAUCAGCGGCCACCAGGGGCGGGGCCGAGCUGCGGGCUGAACGAAUCAGCGCGCGGGACGAGCUGAGGGCGGGAAGGAGUUACAAGGCGGGAGGCGGGCGCGGUGCAUUGUGGGAGUUGUAGUCCGGAAGUGAGGCCUUUAUUUCCCACAGUGCCCCGCGGCGGAAGGGAGGGGGAAAAUGGCGGCGAGCAGCGGGACCGAGGCGAGCGGGGCGGCGGCGGCGGGGCCGGUUUCGUUCGGCUUCAGCCGCAAGGCGGAGAGGCGGCGGGUGCUGGCGGCCGGGCCUUGCUCGGAGCCGGGCGGCGACGCCGGCCCCGACACCGAUUUCCUCACGGCUGUGGAGGACCGCGAGCU